CGUGUAGGCGGUUGGUCAAGUCUGGUGUGAAAGCCCGGGGCUCAGCUCCGGAAGUGCAUCGGAAACUAGCCAGCUUGAGCGCGAUAGAGGAGGGUGGAAUUCCUGGUGUAGCGGUGAAAUGCGUAGAUAUCAGGAGGAACACCGGCGGCGAAGGCGGCCCUCUGGAUCGUUGCUGACGCUGAGACGCGAAAGCGUGGGGAGCAAACAGGAUUAGAUACCCUGGUAGUCCACGCUGUAAACGAUGGGUACUAGGUGUUCGGGGUGUUGACCCCCUGAGUGCCGCAGCUAACGCAUUAAGUACCCCGCCUGGGGACUACGGCCGCAAGGUUAAA
rnacentral:rRNA from 1 species